rnacentral:rRNA from 1 species
UAACGCGUAGGAAUGUACCCCAAAGUGAGGGAUAAGCACCGGAAACGGUGUCUAAUACCGCAUAUUAUCUAUGGAUCAAAGCAGCAAUGCGCUUUGGGAACAGCCUGCGUCCGAUUAGUUUGUUGGUGAGGUAAUGGCUCACCAAGACUAUGAUCGGUAGCUGGUCUGAGAGGAUGAUCAGCCUGACUGGAACUGAGACACGGUCCAG